rnacentral:rRNA from 1 species
AGCUCCAAUAGCGUAUAUUAAUGUUGUUGCAGUUAAAAAGCUCGUAGUUGGAUUUGUGGUUGGACUGACCGGUCCGACACAGUGUGUUGGUGCUUGGUCAGUCCGUCCAUCUUUGGUUUGAAUCUUUGUGGCAUUAAGUUGUCGUGGAGGGGAGGGCCAUCAUUUACUUUGAAAAAAUCAGAGUGUUCAAAGCAGGCUUAUGCCGUUGAAUAUAUUAGCAUGGAAUAAUGAGAUAGGACCUUGGUACUAUUUUGUUGGUUUGUGCACCAAGGUAAUGAUUAAUAGGGACAGUUGGGGGUAUUCGUAUUCCAUUGUCAGAGGUGAAAUUCUUGGAUUUCUGGAAGACGAACUACUGCGAAAGCAUUUACCAAGGAUGUUUUCA